UUCUGGCUACUUCUUCCAUCACUGGAAAAACACUACCGCCACCUCUGUCACCGAAAAUAGCCACUGAGUCCUCUGUGUUGGAGUUUAUUGCGAGUUGCCGUCGUUCUGGUCACCGGCUAUGGCGUUGGUGUUGCUGGAACCGCCACUGGUGCUGCCGCCACUUGGUUCCCACGAAGGAGGCUUG